ensembl:lncRNA
GGAGGAGGAGUUGACGGCGGGCAAGAAGAGCUCUUGCUCCGGCUCCUCCUGCCCGCUGGCAGCCGGCGAGGGGCUCCAGCCCUGGCAGGGCGGCAGGCAGGCGGCCAGCAGCGCCGGGAGGAGCAGCGGCAGCAUGGCCCCUUUUGGUAUUCUUGUGGAUUUGCCAGAAAUUAUUUGUGAUGAAACACUUAAAGGCCACUGAUACUUCUGAAACGGAUAAUAGAAGCUGGUUGGACUAAACGGCUUGCUUCUGCUACAUCAUGUCAGAAAGAUUUAUCCACAGAGAAGAGAGAUCAUGUGCUGUGCAGAACAAGCCAGGAUUUUGUACCACCCUUUAUAUGAAUAUCAGAAGCCCAGACAAAGGGAACAGCCAGUUGGCAAGCAGGCUGAGAACAAGGGCACAGUCUCUUCAGAGAAGUCAACACACCCAUCUCAGCAAAGACACCAAGCACGUCAUUUGACAUGCAUUUCUAUCUGCAGCAGAUACUGCUUCCACACCACCCUCUCAGUUAUACAGACAUCCCUGAAGCCAGAAAACAGCCCAUAUCAAAGAGCUGGGGCACAUGACUGCCAUUUUAAAACACCUUUGGUAUACAUGUCCUUUUUUGUUAAAAUAUCACAGACUUAACCCCAGCCUUAACCCCAAUCUUUAACCCCUUAUCCAGAUCACCUGCAAAAAGCUGUACCUGUGUAGCUGAGGGCAUGAGGCAAGGCAGCAGAGAAGGGGAGAGGGUUUGAGCAGCAGGGCUGUUUAGCCACUGCAUGUCAAGAUGGGCUCUAGUGAUGCUUCUACGGUCUGCAAACCACACAGCUGAUAGAGUGUGGACCAAGAGAAAGCCACUGCCAUCAGGAAUCCAAAAGAAGUACUGAAGGAGUUAUCCAUAGCAAUUACUACAGAAUCUAAUCCAACCGCAAAUAUGAUUGCUAGAAAUUAGAAGAACAUUGUUUUCUACAACUGCCUGACAGGAGGUUGUAGCGAGGUGGGGUCGGUCUCUGCUCCCAAGGAACAAGUGACAGGACAAGAGGAAAUGGCCUCAAGCUGCACCAGGGGAGGUUUAGACUGGAGCUGAGGAACAAUUCCUUCCCCAGAGGGUGCUCAGGCAUUGGAACAGGCUGCCCAGGGCAGUGCUGGAGUCACCGUCGCUUGAAUUGUUCACACACCGUGCAGACAAGGCCCUCAGUGCCAUGGGUUAGUGGUGGCCUUGGCAGUGCUGGGCAACAUUUGGACUGGAUGAGCUUAAAGGUCUUUUCCAACCUACUUGAUUCUAUGAUUCUAAAUCAAGACCCUUCCCAUCACUGUCAAUAUAUAAGCAUAACCAAAAAGAGAGAAAAACCAGAAAUGUCUUAAGCACACAAAAAAAGAUGGAACAAUUAAAAAUAAAUUAUUCAUCUUCAAUAAAAAGAGAGACUUAGGGAAUUGUUCAGCAUCUGCCUCAGCCAAAAUAGGCGCAUGGACAGCAUCACAAGAAUAUUCACCUUCUCAAGAAAAUACACUGAAGUGAACAUUGAUAGCUAUUUCCAAGGAAAUUUUGGUUAAAAGAUGUGUAAAGGGAGGGGUGAAGGGAAGGUGGGUUUAAGAUUUUAUUUUGUUUUUCAUUGUCCUCCUCUGAUUUGAUUGGUAAUAAAUUAAUCUGAUUCCC